rnacentral:rRNA from 1 species
GAUGAACGCUGGCGGCGUGCUUAACACAUGCAAGUCGAAGGGAGUGGCGAACGGGUGAGUAACACGUGAGUAACCUGCCCUUUUCUUUGGGAUAAGCCUGGGAAACUGGGUCUCAUACUGGAUGGAUUGGGAUGGGCUCGCGGCUUAUCAGGUUGUUGGUGGGGGGAUGGCUUACCAAGGCUUUGACGGGUAGCCGGCCGGAGAGGGUGGUCGGUCCCGCUGGGACUGGUAUACGGCCCAGACGCGUACGGGAGGCAGCAGUGUGGGAUAUUGCACAAUGGACGAAAGUCUGAUGCAGCGACGACGUGUGGGGGAUGAAGGCCGUCGGGUUGUACACUCCUUUCGCCAGCCGAAUGGUAGUGGGUAAAGAAGCGCCGGCUGACUCCGUGCCAGCAGCCGCGGUAAUAC